rnacentral:sRNA from 1 species
CUUCGGAAUGAGUAAAGCGGCGAACGGGUGAA